rnacentral:rRNA from 1 species
CCUACGGUGGGCAGCAGUGGGGAAUAUUGCACAAUGGGGGAAACCCUGCUGCAGCGACGCCGCGUGAGUUAAGAAGUAUUUCGGUAUGUAAAGCUCUAUCAGCAGGGAAGAAAAUGACGGUACCUGAUUAAGAAACUCCGGCUAACUACGUGCCCGCAGCCUCGGUAAUCCGUAGGGGGCAAGAGUUAUCCGGUUUUACUGGGUGUAAAGGGAGCGUAGACGGCAGCACAAGUCUGGAGUGAAAUGCCAGGGCUGAACCCCGGAACUGCUUUGGAAACUGUGCAGCUAGAGUGCAGGAGAGGUAAGUGGAAUUCCUAGUGUAGCGGUGAAAUGCGUAGAUAUUAGGAGGAACACCAGUGGCGAAGGCGGCGUACUGGACUGUAACUGACGUUGAGGCUCGAAAGCGUGGGGAGCAAACAGGAUUAGAUACCCGGGUAGUC